ensembl:misc_RNA Metazoa_SRP Metazoan signal recognition particle RNA
GCUGGGCAUGGUGGCUCAUGCCUGUAAUCCCAGUACUUUGGGAGGCUGAGGCGGGUGGAUCAUCUGAGGUCAGGAGAUCGAGACCAGCCUGGCCAACAUGGUGAAACCCUGUCUCUA